GAUUGCUUGAGAUGUGGUCCGCAGAAAUUGCGUGUUUACCGCGCUCAAGUAUCCUAUUCCUUGGGGAUUCCAGUGCGAUGGAGGCUGUUUACGCAGUCCUUCAUCCGCUCCCCAUCGUUUACUUUGAGAAAAUUAGAGUGUUCAAAGCAGGCGUAACCCAGCCUUUGAAUACUGUAGCAUGGGAUAAUAAAACAGGACGAGAGUCCUAUUUUGUUGGUUUCUAGUUGGCUUUUGUA
rnacentral:rRNA from 1 species